GAGGGGCAAGGCCUAGAACCAUCGGGUUCGGUGCAUGACAAGAAAGAAAGCUAUUAUGGUGGAACCCCCUCCGAGCAUUUUAUCUCACUAGCUGCACCUAGUCACCAUCAAAGAAUACCCGCAAAAAUACAAAACCCAGGUCUCAAGUCUCAAGCGCGAGAGUAAUAACGUCAACUGCCCAGUUUAGAAAACCCAAGUAUCUGGUCUUUCCCUAAUCUCUCUCUCAAUCUGUAUCCAAACAAAACGCACGCGUUUCGGUGUUGAUUGUUCUGCAUCUCUCUCUCUCUCUCUCUCAGGUGAAUACGGAAGGAAGAAUCAGUGAACUCCUCUCCAACUUCCGGACGUAUACCAUACACGAUACACCCACACAUACACUCACUUUGUAUGGAUGUCUGUUCCAUAUCUCCGUAGUUCAGGCUUCCAGUGCAUGCUUGGAAAUUUUUGAGAGAGAGUG